ensembl:lncRNA
UUUUCUUUCACACCCGAAUACAAUACUGUGAUCUGUCUCAGCUGUGAGAAGCCUGCCCCCUUCCCUACCUCCUGAGGAUUCCCAAGGAAAAACAACUUUCAGAAGGAAGUGAAGCUUGAGCAGAAACCUACAUGCAAGAAAGGCACCAGUCAUACAAAUAUCUGGAGAAGAGAACAAGAGGCAUAAGAAACAGCAAGAAUUUGGUCAAUGGUGAUAUCAUUACCCUGGAGAAACAAGUGUGAGACUAAAACAUCACCUCAGAUUUAAUUUUAAAAAUUUGUCAAAUAGAAGAGGUCCCCAAUGGACAAAAGACCUAAAGAAGGAGAUCCUGAUAAGGAACACGGAACUCAUAAGCCACCACCAACUGGAAGAGUUCGGGAAAGGUUGAAAGGAGACACCCCGUGUCCGUCCACUUUCCAGAAUCCCUCUCUCUAGCAUCCAUCUUGGCUGAGCAAUGCGUGCACCACCAGGAAAGACUCUGAAUUAGAAUGAUUGGCCAAAGACCACCCAGAAACUAAUCCCAUCACCAUAAAACCCAAGACUGGAAGAGCAGUUCUCCUAGGUUCCCUCACCC